CGGAUCCCCCAGUCCAGCGCGACGAGGAAGAGGAAAAAGAAGUCGAAAAUGAGGAUGAAGACGAUGAUGACAGUGACAAGGAAAAGGAUGAAGAGGACGAGGUCAUUGACGAGGAAGUGAAUAUUGAAUUUGAAGCUUAUUCCCUAUCAGAUAAUGAUUAUGACGGAAUUAAGAAAUUACUGCAGCAGCUUUUUCUAAAGGCUCCUGUGAACACUGCAGAACUAACAGAUCUCUUAAUUCAACAGAACCAUAUUGGGAGUGUGAUUAAGGGUACCCAGUGUGUUGAACAAAUUCAAGAGUUGGUUCUACGCUUCUGUGAGAAGAACUGUGAAAAGAGCAUGGUUGAACAGCUGGACAAGUUUUUAAAUGACACCACCAAGCCUGUGGGCCUUCUCCUAAGUGAAAGAUUCAUUAAUGUCCCUCCACAGAUCGCUCUGCCCAUGUACCAGCAGCUUCAGUAAGAGAUUCUGGGAAAAUAUCUUUGAACAGUAAUUUUUUUU
rnacentral:lncRNA from 10 species